UGCAAAGGCUGCAGGGACACAAAAGAAUCAAAAGAAGCCUGUUAAAUUAGAUCCCAGAGGCACUUAGAAGACUGGGGCUCUGGGGGACAAAUUUGGGGUCAGAACUGGAGAAGAAGUACCCGAGGUUGGGCCUCAGGGCACAGGGGAGCACACAGCAGAAGGAUAGUCACUAAACACUGGUUUUUGAAAUACAAACAGGGGUCCUUUUACUUAAAAAUUGAUAAGCCAUUACCAAAAGAAUCUGAUUCAGUAUAGACUUUUAAUACAUUUUGUGUUCUUUCUAAAGUUUCCUCCAGUGACAGAAUGAAAGUGCUGUAAGCUUUGGAAGAGGUCCUUUGAAGAGAAGGCGGUGGCGUGCAGGACAUCAGCAGCAUGGGUGGAGUUAUGGUACGCAUUGGAGGAGUGGUAGUUGGCCUCAAUCACUUGGAGCCAGGCCCGAAGAGUAGUUUCAGAACAGCGCAAAAAUUCACAUACUCCGAACCGGGAGAAGACCUUUAAGCCCAGCCUAAGCGAUUUGAUUGCUGAAUAACCCAGUCAAUCUGGAACUCCAAGUUGCAGCUUGACAGGAAACCAGAACAACAGCUGUAAAACACAGGAUAGUCUCUCCAUGGCCGCCUUGCCAGCCCCAGGAGAUGGAGAACUGAGGAUGAACAUUACAUGGAGAGGAACCCCAGGAUGGCAUGGCGGCAGGGAGAAGGAGGGCUGGUAACUUGUUCCAGGAACCAGAGCCCUGCUGCUGCAGCUCUGCAGGGGCCACCUUCCUGAAAGACCUUGGCCAGCGCUCUCUCUAACUGAAGCCGAUGCUGCAUGGUUUAGCAGGAACAAGGAGAACGGAUCAGAAAGCCAGUCCACACUCAGCAUUUGGUGGCAGGGCUGGACCUUUAAAAUAAAACUCAUAGAUGAC